rnacentral:pre_miRNA from 1 species
UCCACUACAAUGCCUUGCCUCUUCUCCAGGAAAGGCAGCAGGGUAUAGUGGACA